UACGGGGGGGGCAAGCGUUGUUCGGAAUUACUGGGCGUAAAGGGCGCGUAGGCGGCCUGCUAAGUCGGACGUGAAAUCCCUCGGCUCAACCGGGGAACUGCGUCCGAUACUGGUGGGCUCGAAUCCGGGAGAGGGAUGUGGAAUUCCAGGUGUAGCGGUGAAAUGCGUAGAUAUCAGGAGGAACACCGGUGGCGAAGGCGGAUCUCUGGGCCAUUACUGACGCUGAGGAGCGAAAGCGUGGGGAGCGAACAGG
rnacentral:rRNA from 1 species